ensembl:lncRNA
GAUAAGCCUCGCAUCUGCACGUGCGGCAAAAGUUUACCUAAAUAUUUUAAAAGAUGGCCACGGGUCGGCUAUGUCCUGAGGUAAAGACGACGACAUGACAACGACUUUCACACCGUGGGUUUAGUGACCUAGGAUCGGUCACUCCGGGGCCAUGAGCCUUCCCUGAAUGAGUCAUCCUACCGGCUCCUGAUUGGACAACGCCAUGCCAUCCCCAGGGAUUGCCUUGCAGAGGCAGAAAGGCCCAGCUUCCAUUCACAGAAACAUUGAGGGAGAAGCAAUACGUGCUUUCUUCUAUAUUUGCUAGGAAGCAGAGAGAGAGAGAGAGAGAGCGAGAGAGGGGAGAGAGAGAGAGAGAGAGAGAGAGAUGUUGGGAGGGACUGCAGUGCGAAAUCUGCAGCAGAAGGAGCGAGGGAGCUGCUUAUGAAUGGAUAGUCGUUCUCCUCCGCUAGAUGCUCCCGGGGACAUUUUUACAUGAAUGGGGUCUGGAUCCGCGCUCUCUAUCUCUGUUUUUCCGCCAUAAGGAGUCGGGGGAUGAAGACGAGGCUUGGCCGCUGACGGCGUGAACGAGACUUCCCCUUGCUUCUGGUUCUCUGCCGGCUGGUUUCAUUGACAUAUGUGCGCCCGGGAAACGUAUCGUGGGUAUUUUGUCGGCGCUCGAGUAGGUCUGGUUGCACGGAGAGGCUAAGGGGUUUAAUACCAGGACCUAGUGGAUCAUCAGUCUAUCGCAUGGUUCUUUCGGGUGUUAUUUCGGAGACGUUUAUCGGAAACUAUAUUGGUUUGUCGCCGCUCUCGGUUCGGCGUUUUUAUAAUCCUUUGUUGCAGAAUGUUGACAAAGGACUGAGAACAUGCUUAUGUAAACAGAAGAGGACAGACCAUGGUGUUUAGAUGAUGAUUUGUGGUUGUUAUGAUCGUUUUCAAGAUCCACAGAUGAAUAGAAUGGCGGAUAUUUUAGAGGUCCACCAAUUUAUGGAUUAAAAUACGAAGAUCGAAGGCCAGGAGUCAUUUUUUUCCUUUCCAUGGUUUUACAUGGUUAGUGGUGUUAUUGGCUUUGGGCUGUUGCUAUGGUUUUGUUUCGUAUGUUUCCUAUUUUUUUCUUUUCUAGAUAUCUUCCCUUAUUAUCUUCCAUGGUGGCGUAUGUACGAGGUAUUUAAAUAGGAGCAUUUUAUUACAAAUGCAGAAAAGUCUGUUUGCGGUCGUUUUGAAGUCAUAUUUAUUUUAGCUGCGAUGACAAAAGGGGCUAGUUGCACAAAAUCAUUUCACCAGGCUUAUUCAGGUGUUCAGUCAUUAUAGUUAGUUAAUGAAAACUGCAAUUCAUUCAUAAAAAAAAGCGU